UACGUAGGGGGCAAGCGUUGUCCGGAUUUAUUGGGCGUAAAGAGCGUGUAGGCGGCUAGGUAGGUCCGUUGUGAAAACUCGAGGCUCAACCUCGAGACGUCGAUGGAAACCAUCUAGCUAGAGUCCGGAAGAGGAGAGUGGAAUUCCUGGUGUAGCGGUGAAAUGCGCAGAUAUCAGGAAGAACACCCGUGGCGAAGGCGGGUCUCUGGGCCGAUACUGACGCUGAGGAGCGAAAGCGUGGGGAGCGAACAGG
rnacentral:rRNA from 1 species